rnacentral:tRNA from 1 species
UGGUAAAAAGAGGACUUUAACCUCUGUUAUUGGGACUACAAGCCACCGCCUAACCCUAGGCUAUUUUACC